CCUACGGGAGGCAGCAGUAGGGAAUAUUGCUCAAUGGGGGAAACCCUGAAGCAGCAACGCCGCGUGGAGGAUGAAGGUUUUCGGAUUGUAAACUCCUUUUGUUAGAGAAGAUAAUGACGGUAUCUAACGAAUAAGCACCGGCUAACUCCGUGCCAGCAGCCGCGGUAAUACGGAGGGUGCAAGCGUUACUCGGAAUCACUGGGCGUAAAGAGCGCGUAGGCGGGAUAGCAAGUCAGAUGUGAAAUCCUAUGGCUUAACCAUAGAACUGCAUUUGAAACUGUUAUUCUAGAGUAUGGGAGAGGUAGGUGGAAUUCUUGGUGUAGGGGUAAAAUCCGGAGAGAGCAAGAGGAAUACUCAUGGCGAAGGCGACCUGCUAGAACAUAACUGACGCUGAUGCGCGAAGGCGUGGGGAGCAAACAGGAUUAGAUACCCUUGUAGUC
rnacentral:rRNA from 1 species